GGCGCUAUAGCCAAGUGGUUACGGCGACAGAUUAGAAUUCAGGCCAGAUAUUCAUCUGUUCCUCUUUGAGGGCGCAGGUUCAAAUCCUGCUGGCGUCG